rnacentral:sRNA from 1 species
UCCUCGAUGAGUCCGCAAACAUCUCUGC